rnacentral:rRNA from 1 species
AGUCGAACGAAUCCCCGUGGGGGUAACUCUGCGGGGGGAAGUGGCGAAAGGGGCAGUAAGGCGUGGCUAACCUACCCCGGGGACGGGGAUAGCCUCCCUAACGGGAGGGUAAUACCCGGCGAGUCGGCGGGAAGGCAUCUUCCUGCCGGGAAACGAGUUUCGCCUCGGGAGGGGGUCACGUGCUAUUACCUGGUUGGCGGGGUAACGGCCCACCAAGGGGAAGAUGGCUAGCGGGUGUGAGAGCACGACCCGCGCCACUGGCACUGAGACACUGGCCAGACUCCUACGGGAGGCUGCAGUCGAGGAUCUUCGGCAAUGGGCGCAAGCCUGACCGAGCGACGCCGCGUGUGCGACGAAGGCCUUCGGGUUGUAAAGCACUGUCGAGGGGGAGGAAAGCCGCAAGGCCUGACCUAUCCCUGGAGGAAGCACGGGCUAAGUUCGUGCCAGCACCGCGGUAAGACGAACCGUGCGAACGUUGUUCGGAAUCACUGGGCUUAAAGGGCGCGUAGGCGGCUUCGCAAGUCGGGGGUGAAAUCUUUCGGCUCAACCGGAAAAGUGCCCCCGAUACUGCGGAGCUCGAGGGGGGAUAGGGGCGGACGGAACUUCCGGUGGGAGCGGUGAAAUGCUUGAUAUCAGAAGGAACGCCUGCAAACUCCGCUGGGUCCUACUGACCUGAGGGCGAAAGCCAGGGGAGCAAACGGGAUUAGAUACCCCGGUAGUCCUGGCCCUAAACGAUGGGUACUAGGCUGUGGGCUUGACAUGGGCUCCCAGCCGAAGCAAAAGUGUUAAGUACCCCGCCUGGGGAGUAUGGUCGCAAGGCUGAAACUCAAAGGAAUUGACGGGGGCUCACACAAGCGGUGGAGCAUGUGGCUUAAUUCGAGGCUACGCGAAGAACCUUAUCCUGGGCUUGACAUGUGCGAAAGCGGUGGGUGUUGUAGCUGCCGGAAACGGCCAGCGAACCCGCAAGGGGGACCCACCACAGGUGCUGCAUGGCUGUCGUCAGCUCGUGUCGUGAGAUGUCGGGUUAAGUCCCAUAACGAGCGAAACCCUUGUCUCCAGUUGCCAGCGGGUCAUGCCGGGGACUCUGGAGAGACUGCCGGUGUUAAACCGGAGGAAGGCGGGGAUGACGUCAAGUCCUCAUGGCCUUUAUGCCCAGGGCUGCACACGUGCUACAAUGGCGUGAACAAAGGGACGCAAAGUCGCGAGACCCAGCUAAUCCCAAAAAACACGCCCCAGUUCAGAUCGGAGGCUGCAACUCGCCUCCGUGAAGUUGGAAUCGCUAGUAAUCGCGGGUCAGCAACACCGCGGUGAAUGUAUUCCUGAGCCUUGUACACACCGCCCGUCAAGCCACGAAAGAUCGGAGCGCCCGAAGACG